AUAAAGAGCUAUAUUUACUUAAUAAAAUCUUUUGAAAUCAUUUAAGUGAUAUUUUAAGUGGGUCAGGUUAAAAAUAAUAAUUAAAAAUCCAACAAAUAAUUUCUCUAAAAUUUACAUAUAUUAUUUAAGUUUAUGUAAUGAAAAUAAAUAAGUAUUUAACUAACUAAUUAUAUUUUUAAUAUACCCUCAAUAUUUCUGGUCAAUUCUAAUAGAAAUAUUUGAUAAUUAUUUACUUGUACUGAUCUGUUUUAGAAACUAAAAUUAUUAAGUAUUUCCUACCAAUUUUCCUAAAUAAAGUUCCAGCUUAAUAAAUGACGGUUUAAAUAAAUUGAGUAAAUUUCGCGGCUAAAGUGAUCACGUGUGCAGCUCCGCAGGAAAAAAAAAUCUGCUUUCCUCAGCAGAGACGUCGACUAGCCAUACUCCUCACAACUCCUGGUAAGUAACGUUAGUCAGCUAAUUCUACUUACGUUUGUAACACUUUAUUAUAAAGUUAAUAAUUAUUAAGCAUUUCCUAACAAUUGUCUUUGUAUUUUACGUCAUCUUCAACAAGUUUCGUAGCUUAAUCGAAGUCACCUGAAGGACGGCUUUCCUGAGUUUCCUCAGCAAUGGCAAGACCCGCACUCCUCUCAUAUCGUGAAGUUUAACGAGUUUCGCGGCUCAAGCAAGAGGCACCUGUCACUGAAGGACUGCUUUUCUCAGCAACGACGUGAACAGCAUUACUCGAAUUUCCUGGUUCAGCUGAUCUACCCGUCUUCGUACACGCAGAGUUGGCAGAGGAGGUCAUAAAAAUCUACAUCCUUCGGGACAAUGAUGGGGCAGUCAGCGACGUAGGAGUUGUGAUUGAGGGCAUCACUGUCCUCCGCAGUCUUGGGAAUCUCAGCAGAGCCUGCUGCUAUCUUUUGGGAGUCACGAUGCAUUGGAUUUGAGAUAUCCCAAGACCCACA